rfam:Oryzias latipes DNA, chromosome1, strain: Hd-rR.
ACAACGGCUCUUUUAAGAGCCACUAACGCAUCUCCUGACGAGCUUG